CCUCCGCUAUGUGGGCGGUGACCCGCCCGUGACGUAAGCUCCAGACGCCUGAGAAGUGGAAGGACCCGGCGUCCAGGACAGGAAAGUGCGUGAUUUACAGCUAGAGGGAUAGGCGCUGUCCCGGAGCCCGUCCUGGGCCAGGGAGCAGGAGAGGGAGGGACUACAGUUCCCGACGCGCUGCGGGGCGGGCGGAGAUCGUGCGCUUCGGCGCCAGUUGCACGGCCUUAGCAGCCAGUGGCGGCUCCCCUGCUCCUGUAACAGUCCCCUUGUCUUCUGACCUUUCGCUCCUCGGUCAUGUGUCCUCGCCGGUCGCCGCGGCAGCCAGUGAUGCCCGAGCGGCGGGUUCCCAGGCCCAGGUGUGGGCGCCACCGCCCACCAUGCGCCAAGCCCAGAGCCUGGUUGAAUCGUUCGCCACCUUGUCUACCCAUUUUGGCCAUUAUCCUGCCACCUCCAAAUCCUGUUUUUGACACUUCUCGGGAGAGAGAGAAAACGGAAAGAUAAAGGAAUAAACUCCUCGUGGUCGUAGUUAGUGGGUAAAUUCAGAUCUCGUUUGAACCGAGGUUUUUCUUAUCUCCAGCCACCGUAUCCACCACCACCAGAAUCGUCUUUUUAGUCAUCACAGCUGGUCGCCGUCAGUACCUUGUUCAGAAGCCUCUCGCAGCUUCCAUCGUGUGGUUAUACAAUCCAAAUUCCUUAUAAAGUCCAAAUUCAAGAGGAGGAAUGCACGUUUAGUUAAGUUAAUGUCUAGACCUUACCAGCCAAUUUCUAGCUCCUCAGUAUGGAAAUUGCAACUGAAAACACCCCUUCCAAAAAAAGCAGUCUGCAUUUUUCUCUGAGUUUUCUUCUCCAAAUUUCGCACCCCUGACCUUGCUUACACACUCUGGAUACCACCUGCUGUGGAGUGGCGGAAGCAGACAUCCAGCGAUAGCUAAGUUUCCUGUCGUUGACACCCAAGCAAGACAGGCGUGUACCUAACUGAGGACCUGCCGGUGAUAGAAGUCUCAGCUUUUCUCAGAGACAGAUGAGUCUUCCCUUUAAAUGCUGCAAAGUGCUGCAUAGUAGAUGUUAAAUGAAAGUCAGAAAGAAUCAAAUGUGCUGCAAAUAAUUGAAGGGACUGGGGAGCCACGUGCCACCUCUCCUGCCAGAGUUCUGUUCAGCUGUGCCAACAGAUAUACACAAGGAAACCAGAAGAUAAGAGGUAGGAGAGGGGCCUGUGCCUCCCAUUCUGUCCUGUCCGACUCCUGGUCCUGCUAGCGUCUUGCUAUCCUUGCUUUCGCACCUGGCAGUGGCAGUUCAUGAACAGAGCGGCAUACGAAUUGGGUCUGCAGUUUCUCUGACACACGCAGAGCCAGCCUCAUAGCAUCCCCUCGGAGAUACCAGCAAAGUUGGUUUCCCAGCUCCACAGAGCCCUGAGUCCAAGAGCAGAGGCCUCAGCACCAGCCCAGAAGGUCCCUUCUUCAUAUGUCUGAGUGUGAUUUCUGGGUGGCAGCUCCUCCACAUUUCUGAGUUUUGCUCACUCCUUCCUCCUUCUUUUAUUCUCUCCAG
rnacentral:lncRNA from 10 species